rnacentral:rRNA from 1 species
UACGGAGGGUCCAAGCGUUGUCCGGAAUUAUUGGGUUUAAAGGGUGCGUAGGCGGCCUAUUAAGUCAGAGGUGAAAUGCUGCAGCUUAACUGUAGAACGGCCUUUGAUACUGGUAGGCUUGAGUACACUAGAGGUAGGCGGAAUUUAUGAUGUAGCGGUGAAAUGCAUAGAUAUCAUAAAGAACACCGAUAGCGAAGGCAGCUUACUGGAGUGUAACUGACGCUGAGGCACGAAAGCGUGGGUAGCGAACAGG